GACAGGUCUAAAUCUAGAGACAUGGCGGAUCAUGUGACUGCUGUUGCUGAGCAAGUCGCAGCAAUGCUGCCUGAACUCAGAGGGAGCAUUGUGGAUCGCAAAGUCACCAUUGAGCUGACCAACCAUGCAGAAACAGCUCUGUCUCAUCCUCAGGUUCACAUGUCGACAGGACAAGUCUUGGAUCCUCCACCACCAACAAUACCUGCAAAGGAAGAUUCCGCUUUUUCCUGCAGCAGGCAUGAUUCACUCUUGCAAUUACUCUAUGGUGUCAUCACCUAUGAUGUGUGUGCAUGUAACCAAGAAGCAUAUCGUAUUGCCAUCAUGUUCUAUGUCCCUUACAAUAGGUUGUCAUAUUCAAAUGAAUUUGGCAUUGGUAUUUUUACCCCUGACACAGUCUGUGAUUGGAAACUGCUCAAACACAUGUAUUACUGUGAUACUGUGCUAAUGGCAGUGAGCUGAGUUUCAAGGGUAUUAAGUACAUUGUCAAGGGAAUAAUGUCACAGACAGCUAAUGCCACAAUGAAAGUAGAGAUCCACCAAGGCUAACCUUUAAGACAUGGCAAAGGGUAAACAUCAGAGGGAGAUGAAAUCAUUAAGAUGAAUAUGACAUUUCCAAAAAUGAUUUGUUGCUGAUUUUUCUUUUUCUUUUUUUGGAUCCAAGAUUUUAACUCUGUGAGAACUAUCAACUGUGCUGGGUGUUUGCGUUGUGCUUUUAGAAAUUGUUCAUGACAGGGAUUCAGAAAACCAGAGUUUGUAGACGAUUGUAAGCCCUGUAAUCCAUAUAAUCAGGCAGUUUCUAUAUUUUAUAAUACAGACUGACCAGCUAUUGUUUUCCUUGAAUCACAGUUUCUACAACUUAACCAUUCAGAACAGCAGAAUUGUUUAGAAUUGUUGUUCAAGACAUAUUGUCAAAAAUUGAUUUUCUAUUAAAGAUGUAUUGUAUGUGUUAUCAUGAUUUUUAAUUAUCAACACCUGUCAUAAUCGAUUGCUGUUAAUAAACGUUCUGUAUCACUACAUGAUGUUUUGUGGCUUGCAGUCAAAUAAACAGCAAAUGCAAAAGGA